UACGUAGGGGGCGAGCGUUGUCCGGAAUCAUUGGGCGUAAAGCGCGUGUAGGCGGCUCGGUAAGUCUGCUGUGAAAGUCCAGGGCUCAACCCUGGGAUGCCGGUGGAUACUGUCGAGCUCGAGUCCGGAAGAGGCGAGUGGAAUUCCUGGUGUAGCGGUGAAAUGCGCAGAUAUCAGGAAGAACACCCGUGGCGAAGGCGGCUCUCUGGGACGGUACUGACGCUGAGACGCGAAAGCGUGGGGAGCGAACAGG
rnacentral:rRNA from 1 species